GGGGAUGUAAUGGUUUCGACGGGAGUCUUGAAAAUAGGGAUAGCCAUCCGCAGGCCGGUUAACUGCGUCAUCAAGCCGGAAACUUUUUUAAAAAGAAAAGACAAUAAUAAAUUAGCAAUCGCUGCCUAAUUGCGGCAGCCGUCGGCCUCUGAUCUCUCGCUGUCAGAGUUACCGGCGUCGACUAGGCGGGGCACUUUUUCGCUUAAGCUUUGCGGCGUAAAAAGAUUCAUGAAGCUACCAAGGUACACAGCCUGUCAAUCGGGGGUGUAACGAGGGAAUGUUAAAAGACUGACUGUGAUGGGAGAAGUUCUUAUGGAUGGGUUUUCGGACAGGGGUUCAAAUCCCCUCAUCUCCAUAG
rnacentral:tmRNA from 1 species